rnacentral:RNase_MRP_RNA from 1 species
UGAGUUUUUCAUGCUUGUCUCUCGGGGUCACACACGAGCUCCUGGUAGCUCUUCAAUCGCACCCUGGGUAAAGUCCCCGGGCCUAGGAUAGAAAGUAUCAAGGCGUAAAAUACUUCGCCUAUAUUCUGCGGUAUCUCGCCUUGCGUACUUCCAACAAAGAGAGUUUUUCUCGAGUUGCUGCGCUCGGUUGACUGCGGAAAUGUGCCAGAGUAUUUCAAUAAGAUAUAGGCGAGUUGUUGGCAAAGGGGGCGUGUAAUAGCGCCCCCCUAAUCCACUACACAGAAUGGGGCUUACGUUGGGAAAUUC